CGAGUCGGUCGGACGGUCGCGUGGCCCGGAGACGGGCCCCGAGGAACGUCCGGGCUCCGAAGGGCAAGGUGGUGGCUAACGGCCACCCGGGGCGACCCGCGGGACAGUGCCACAGAGAACAGACCGCCACCCGGCGCGAGCCGGGCGGUAAGGGUGAAACGGUGGUGUAAGAGACCACCAGCGCGCCUGGUGACAGGCGCGGCUCGGUAAACCCCACCUGGAGCAAGGUCAGACAGACUGCGGUUGAGGGCGGCCCGCCCGACUCCCUCGGGAGACGCAGUCGGGUAGACCGCUUGAGCCCUGCGGCGACGCAGGGCCUAGAUGGAUGACCGUCACCCGCCUCGGGGCGACCUGAGGCGGGCACAGAACCCGGCGUACAGACCGGCUCGUCCG
rnacentral:RNase_P_RNA from 1 species